UGGGGAAUCUUGGACAAUGGGCGCAAGCCUGAUCCAGCCAUGCCGCGUGGAUGAUGAAGGCCUUAGGGUUGUAAAAUCCUUUCGUGGGGGACGAUAAUGACGGUACCCCAAGAAGAAGCUCCGGCUAACUUCGUGCCAGCAGCCGCGGUAAUACGAAGGGGGCUAGCGUUGUUCGGAUUUACUGGGCGUAAAGCGCGUGUAGGCGGGUCGUUAAGUUGGGGGUGAAAUCCCGAGGCUCAACCUCGGAACUGCCUUCAAAACUGGCGACCUGGACCUAAGUAGAGGCAAGUGGAAUUGCGAGUGUAGAGGUGAAAUUCGUAGAUAUUCGCAGGAACACCAGUGGCGAAGGCGACUUGCUGGACUUAUGGUGACGCUGAGACGCGAAAGCGUGGGGAGCAAACAGGAUUAGAUACCCAAGUAGUCCCUGAGCGGGCUGGCAAGGCGCAU
rnacentral:rRNA from 1 species